ensembl:snoRNA Gm22497 small nucleolar RNA SNORA17
UCUGCCCCUAGAGGCACGGCAGGUGUGGCUUCUGUGUCACACGUGCAUCAGUAGAUGGCAGAGAGGAGAGAGGAUAGGUCUAAGCUCAGUGUUCUGCCCUGUGAGCCUCUGAAUGAUAGCAGCCUAACACU